CUUCCGAAUUAUCUCCAUGCUUGGUUUUCCUCUGAAUUCCUCGUAUUGGCUCUGUUGCCCCUGGAUCUGGGGUCCUGACGACUUUCCAACUUGAACGGAGAAGUUUUUCUCGGAGAGUGUUGCCCCCCUCCUUCUAGCGCCAAACUGUUUAGGGGAUUUUUAGUCUUCUUGGGAGCAAGUCUUCUGCAAAACUUAACAAACGCGUGAAGGUCUCGGAAAACACGAUGGAAGGGUGUUUUUCAAUGACUCACCGACGCUUAAGUCAUAAAACAGUAAAAAAAACCACAAAGUGGCAGAUCGUAGAGAGAAAAGAAAUCAGAAAACGGAUGUAAGAAAAUGGGCCGAUAGCUCUUGAGGAAAUUGGAGUCCACUCGGGCCUUUAGGUGGUGAUGGGCUUUUUGAAGUAGAAAGAUAAGAAGUGUAAGAGUUUGUAGAUGGAAAUGCUCCACAGUUUAGGAACCACCGUGGAGAGGAAGUGAAGAGAUGGUCGGAAUGACGACCGAAAAUGUAAAAAUAUUAUGGCAUAAGGAUCACGAGUAUCGCCUGAGUCUUUUGAUAACAGAAAGUUGGAUCCUGUUGAUCCCGAG
rnacentral:lncRNA from 1 species